CGGAAUAUAGCGCAGUUUGGUAGCGUUCCAUCUUGGGGUGAUGGAGGUCGCAGGUUCAAAUCCUGCUAUUCCGA
rnacentral:tRNA from 1 species